rnacentral:scRNA from 1 species
GACACCGGCCUCGACGGGUGGGACGCCGCCGCCU